ensembl:lncRNA
GUGCUAUACCUUAUAUCCUGUUGCUUAUCUAUUUUAAAUAUGGUUUCUUUAAAUAGGGUUUCUGCAAACUAUUAUAUAGUUUGUAUCUGUUAAUCCCAUCCCGCUGCUCUUCCCUCUCCUUUUUGGUAAAACCACAAGUUUUGUUUCCUAUGUCUCUGAGUCCGUUUCUGUUUUGGAUAUACAUAUGUUUUCUUUUUUUUAAUUCCACAUACAACUGAUAUUAUCAUGUAGUAUUUGUCUUUCUCUUUUUCUUUGACUAAUUUCACUAAGCAUGAUGCUCUCUCGGUCCAUCCACAUUUCUGGGGCAUUUUAAGUACUGACUCCUGGGUCCCACCUCCAGCCAUUCUGCCAUGAGAUGAAGCCAGGCACCGCAGUUUUCGAAGCUCCCUCGGGGGAUUUGAAUACGCAGCAAAACACAUUUCACCUGGUGGCCUCUCCGCAGGAGGCUGGCAUCACACUGGCUGGUGAUGCUUUCUGGGCUUUGUCGGAUUUUCAUUCCUCAGGAAACAGAACCAGGAGUGACCAGCGAGGCCCAGCCCAGUGGCAGAGCUGAGAUCUCUGUGACCGGCAGAGGGUCCCUGGCUGAGAGAGGGUACCGGUUGCCUUCUGCCUGCCUGCCCCAGGCAAGGUGAGUGCUGGCUGGACACAGGCGUCCUGGGGCUGUGUGUUUGUGGCCACCAUCCCUCCAGCAGCGAUUGCAGAAACUCAGGAGAAGGGCAUGAGUACCACACGCAACUGAUGCUGGAGACUUGGGUCUCCAAACGGGUCACGGUUUGAAUACUGGGGGGUCCCAGGUGAGUCCCCUACUCUUUCCACUCGUUCAUUUUUUCAUACACAUUUUUGGCCAUUUACCAAGCACUCUGCUGGGCCCAGCGAAAACAGGUGAAUUGGUGUAAGUGAUCGCCAGGCAGGAAGGGCAGGGAAGGAGAAAAUUCAGGCAGAGGCCAGGGACUGUAAGUGGUCAGAUAAGGACGGCUCGAGGGAGGGAAAGGCAGGGGCCCAAUCAAGCCUCGGGCACCAUGCUGAGGAGCUCAGGCUUUAUCCUGGAUGAGCUCUCCCCUGAGGGGGAUCCAUAGCCCGUGCUAGCAGUGGGCUAGCAGACCACCCGGCACUCUGAAUCCUGGGACCGCCCCACCCCACCCCAUGCACUGCUGGUCACUGGGAGCACUCAAGACAGGAAGGGCCCUGCAUGUGGAUAAAGCUCAGGAAACGCAGGUUGGAAGGAAGCCUGACUGUGGAGACCAACGGUCAGACCUGACAGUAAAGCCCUUCCUUACCCCAGCCAGCUUCCGAAGCAAAGAGAAAAGAGCAGAGCAGGCUGCUUCAGAAGCGGACCCCAUGUCGCCCCCUGGAGGUCAGCGAUGCCAUCAAGGCUCAGCCUACACCAUGAACGGGUCACAAGCAGCAGCCCGGGAAGACUGUGGUCUGACUGCCCAGCAAGUUCUAUGAAUAAGCCCAGUCUUCACUCACAGUUCAUGAAAGGAACACUGUCCCAGAGCAGCCUCAGCCCCUGUGGGUUUCAGCUCAGAAGGAGAAUGUUGUUGCUUGAGCCUCUUUCGAGUUUUAAAAAGGACAAGGAAAGGCACUGUGUACAGUGUUUUACUUCGGGCCUUUUUUUUUUCAUUACUCCAAACUGUUGGAUGUUGAAAACCUUGCAUUUACUUGUGAAUUGCCUGUCUGUGUUUAUGUAUGGAGGAGGGUAAAGACUUGAAGAGUCAAAAUUACUUUUAUUUUCCUUGUAAGUUUCUCCACAACUUAGCUUUUCAUCGAGCAUCCCAUAUUUAUUUCUGUGUAAUUAUGUCAUUAUUUGGUGCAUUUUAUAACCAGAGAUGCUAAAAAUUGUUCUAUCCCACCCUUCCAUGCUGAAGUCAGAUGAGCCACAGUGGUGGCACAGAAUCCAGACCCACCCAGCAGUUAGACGGGGCCUCACUUACCCAUGGAAAACAGUCCUGGAUGAGCACACCAAUUUACCCAGGAGAAUAAGCAAAGAAACACUGUAGGUAAUAGAGUCAAAUACUAACUCAACGACAGAAAUUUAAUUAGGACCACACGAUUUACUUGUAUGUAAGAUGUUUCAUAUAUCAAAGGCAAAUUAGGAGUUAAAUGGGAGAAGGAAAAACUGAAGACAAGUUGGAAAUAAAAAACAGCUUGUCAUGUUCUUGCCCUUUUCUUGGUCAAGCUGUUGAUUAGCAGGCAGCUAGCUAAGAG